AAUGUUUGUUAAUGAAAGAGUACAGGACAAAUGAACAUUUAAACCUUAAACUAGCAGCGAUGGUCACUUUCUAAAUGAAGUGCGCGACGUGCGCGUGCCCGUCAUUUUGUAACGGUCAACUUCCAGCAGACGGACACGGAGGAAAGGGCCUGGCUGCCACCAGUUGAGUCAAUGAUUCAGUGAAGAGACAGUUUGGGCAGCAGCAACAAGACAACUAUUACAAGUAGAGAUGGGUUUCAAGAACUGACACAACCACAUAUCAUGCAAAUCAUCUCCGAGUGGAUGGCAGCAAGGAUCCAGGAUCAAGAGAUCAUUCAUCAUGGAGACUGUUCCACAGGAAGCAGUUUAUCCUGGGUGAAAAACUAAACCUGGUUGUUUCAGCAUCACUCAGGCAAGACUAAAUACAUUUAAAUUGAUUUCAGUUGGUUAUGUGUUUCAGGUCAUCCUGACCAUUCUGCUGUUCUGGAUGUAAGGCCGUGCUGGAUAUACAUUUCUCAUGGGUGAAAGAUUUGUGCAGCGGUAUCCAGACAUAUAACGCCCCAUUCACACGGGGAGUCAACGCCUCUCGUUUACUUUUAAAUGGAGUGACGUCAAGCAUGGAGAAAUUAAUUCUGGGUCCGUUGGUCGUGGCAGAAGUUGAAAACUUUUCAAGCGCCAAUGCAGCCGUCCUCCAGUCAGAACGUCUUAUGCAAAUACCCUAGCGCAGACGCAAGCCAAUCGAGUGCAUGCAAUACCAGAAAACUAAUGUGAUUGGCUGUCACUAUGAGAAGAGACAGUAAUUCCGAUCCGAUAUCAGUGUCGUUUUUUGCA